UAAAAAUCAUUUUAACAUCCGUUUUUAAAAAAAGAAAAGAAAAAUCCUCUGGAAGAGGAUUCGGGGGCCGAUCCCGGAGCUGCUGAGCCUCCGUCCAGGGGUCUCCUCACGCACUCACGCGCCGUCCUGUACGGUGGUCUGAGGGUUAAAAUCAUCGUCCUUCCACAGGUAAUCUCUUCCCCUUUUUAAAAGUUACUAUUUUUUUGGCUA
rnacentral:lncRNA from 1 species